rnacentral:rRNA from 1 species
AGAGUUUGAUCCUGGCUCAGGAUGAACGCUGGCGGCGUGCCUAACACAUGCAAGUUGAGCGAUUUACUUCGUAAAGAGCGGCGGACGGGUGAGUAACGCGUGGGUAACCUACCCUGUACACACGGAUAACAUACCGAAAGGUAUGCUAAUACGGGAUAAUAUAUUUGAGAGGCAUCUCUUAAAUAUCAAAGGUGAGCCAGUACAGGAUGGACCCGCGUCUGAUUAGCUAGUUGGUAAGGUAACGGCUUACCAAGGCGACGAUCAGUAGCCGACCUGAGAGGGUGAUCGGCCACAUUGGAACUGAGACACGGUCCAAACUCCUACGGGAGGCAGCAGUGGGGAAUAUUGCACAAUGG